rnacentral:pre_miRNA from 1 species
AGUGGAAUAGCUGAGUCAAAUGGUGGUUCCAUUCCAAGUUUUUUUAAGAAAUCAUCAUACUGCUUUCCAGAUUGGUGGCACCAAUUUGCAGUCCCACCAGCAAU